GGUUAAGCGACUAAGCGUACACGGUGGAUGCCCUGGCAGUCAGAGGCGAUGAAGGACGUGCUAAUCUGCGAAAAGCGUCGGUAAGGUGAUAUGAACCGUUAUAACCGGCGAUGUCCGAAUGGGGAAACCCAGUGCAAUUCGUUGCACUAUCGUUAACUGAAUACAUAGGUUAACGAGGCGAACCGGGGGAACUGAAACAUCUAAGUACCCCGAGGAAAAGAAAUCAACCGAGAUUCCCCCAGUAGCGGCGAGCGAACGGGGAGCAGCCCGGAGUCUGAAUCAGCUUGUGUGUUAGUGGAAGCGUCUGGAAAGUCGCAGGGUACAGGGUGAUACUCCCGUACACUAAAACACACAGGCUGUGAACUCGAAGAGUAGGGCGGGACACGUGGUAUCCUGUCUGAAUAUGGGGGGACCAUCCUCCAAGGCUAAAUACUCCUGACUGACCGAUAGUGAACCAGUACCGUGAGGGAAAGGCGAAAAGAACCCCGGCGAGGGGAGUGAAAAAGAACCUGAAACCGUGUACGUACAAGCAGUAGGAGCCCCACCACCAAAGCGUUUCGCUUUGCGUGGUGCGCAAAAUGCGUAACGACAGCAUGAUGGACGGUUAACGGAGCGUCAGCGACGUUCAACCUCAAAAAUCAGGCAGUGGAGCGUUUUGGGGUGGGGUGACUGCGUACCUUUUGUAUAAUGGGUCAGCGACUUAUAUUCUGUAGCAAGGUUAACCGAAUAGGGGAGCCGCAGGGAAACCGAGUCUUAACUGGGCGUUAAGUUGCAGGGUAUAGACCCGAAACCCGGUGAUCUAGCCAUGGGCAGGUUGAAGGUUGGGUAACACUAACUGGAGGACCGAACCGACUAAUGUUGAAAAAUUAGCGGAUGACUUGUGGCUGGGGGUGAAAGGCCAAUCAAACCGGGAGAUAGCUGGUUCUCCCCGAAAGCUAUUUAGGUAGCGCCUCGUGAACUCAUCUUCGGGGGUAGAGCACUGUUUCGGCUAGGGGGUCAUCCCGACUUACCAACCCGAUGCAAACUACGAAUACCGAAGAAUGUUAUCACGGGAGACACACGGCGGGUGCUAACGUCCGUCGUGAAGAGGGAAACAACCCAGACCGCCAGCUAAGGUCCCAAAGUCAUGGUUAAGUGGGAAACGAUGUGGGAAGGCCCAGACAGCCAGGAUGUUGGCUUAGAAGCAGCCAUCAUUUAAAGAAAGCGUAAUAGCUCACUGGUCGAGUCGGCCUGCGCGGAAGAUGUAACGGGGCUAAACCAUGCACCGAAGCUGCGGCAGCGACACUAUGUGUUGUUGGGUAGGGGAGCGUUCUGUAAGCCGUUGAAGGUGGCCUGUGAGGGUUGCUGGAGGUAUCAGAAGUGCGAAUGCUGACAUAAGUAACGAUAAUGCGGGUGAAAAACCCGCACGCCGGAAGACCAAGGGUUCCUGUCCAACGUUAAUCGGGGCAGGGUGAGUCGACCCCUAAGGCGAGGCCGAAAGGCGUAGUCGAUGGGAAACAGGUUAAUAUUCCUGUACUUGGUGUUACUGCGAAGGGGGGACGGAGAAGGCUAUGUUGGCCGGGCGACGGUUGUCCCGGUUUAAGCAUGUAGGCGGAUGUUCCAGGUAAAUCCGGAACGUUACUAACGCUGAGGUGUGAUGACGAGGCACUACGGUGCUGAAGUGACAAAUGCCCUGCUUCCAGGAAAAGCCUCUAAGCAUCAGGUAACAUCAAAUCGUACCCCAAACCGACACAGGUGGUCAGGUAGAGAAUACCAAGGCGCUUGAGAGAACUCGGGUGAAGGAACUAGGCAAAAUGGUGCCGUAACUUCGGGAGAAGGCACGCUGAUGGUAAGUGAAGUGACUUGCUCAUGGAGCUGAAAUCAGUCGAAGAUACCAGCUGGCUGCAACUGUUUAUUAAAAACACAGCACUGUGCAAACACGAAAGUGGACGUAUACGGUGUGACGCCUGCCCGGUGCCGGAAGGUUAAUUGAUGGGGUUAUCCUCGCGGAGAAGCUCUUGAUCGAAGCCCCGGUAAACGGCGGCCGUAACUAUAACGGUCCUAAGGUAGCGAAAUUCCUUGUCGGGUAAGUUCCGACCUGCACGAAUGGCGUAAUGAUGGCCAGGCUGUCUCCACCCGAGACUCAGUGAAAUUGAACUCGCUGUGAAGAUGCAGUGUACCCGCGGCAAGACGGAAAGACCCCGUGAACCUUUACUAUAGCUUGACACUGAACACUGGUCCUUGAUGUGUAGGAUAGGUGGGAGGCUUUGAAGUGUGGACGCCAGUCUGCAUGGAGCCAUCCUUGAAAUACCACCCUUUAAUGGCUGGUGUUCUAACGUGGGCCCGUGAUCCGGGUUGCGGACAGUGUCUGGUGGGUAGUUUGACUGGGGCGGUCUCCUCCUAAAGAGUAACGGAGGAGCACGAAGGUCAGCUAAUCCUGGUCGGACAUCAGGAGGUUAGUGCAAUGGCAUAAGCUGGCUUGACUGCGAGCGUGACGGCGCGAGCAGGUGCGAAAGCAGGUCAUAGUGAUCCGGUGGUUCUGAAUGGAAGGGCCAUCGCUCAACGGAUAAAAGGUACUCCGGGGAUAACAGGCUGAUACCGCCCAAGAGUUCAUAUCGACGGCGGUGUUUGGCACCUCGAUGUCGGCUCAUCACAUCCUGGGGCUGAAGUAGGUCCCAAGGGUAUGGCUGUUCGCCAUUUAAAGUGGUACGCGAGCUGGGUUUAGAACGUCGUGAGACAGUUCGGUCCCUAUCUGCCGUGGGCGCUGGAGAAUUGAGGGGGGCUGCUCCUAGUACGAGAGGACCGGAGUGGACGCAUCACUGGUGUUCGGGUUGUCAUGCCAAUGGCAUUGCCCGGUAGCUAAAUGCGGAAGAGAUAAGUGCUGAAAGCAUCUAAGCACGAAACUUGCCCCGAGAUGAGUUCUCCCUGACUCCUUGAGAGUCCUGAAGGAACGUUGAAGACGACGACGUUGAUAGGCCGGGUGUGUAAGCGCAGCGAUGCGUUGAGCUAACCGGUACUAAUGAACCGUGAGGCUUAACCUU
rnacentral:rRNA from 1 species